UACGUAGGGGGCAAGCGUUGUCCGGAUUUAUUGGGCGUAAAGAGCGUGUAGGCGGCCAUGCAGGUCCGUUGUGAAAACUCGAGGCCCAACCUCGAGACGUCGAUGGAAACCUCAUGGCUAGAGUCCGGAAGAGGAGAGCGGAAUUCCUGGUGUAGCGGUGAAAUGCGCAGAUAUCAGGAAGAACACCCGUGGCGAAGGCGGCUCUCUGGGACGGUACUGACACUCAGGGACGAAAGCUAGGGGAGCGAAUGGG
rnacentral:rRNA from 1 species